rnacentral:lncRNA from 1 species
GAUACAUACAAAUAUCGCUGAGGCGAUUCUAAAGUGCAUUAAAAUGUAAAAUAUUAAACAAUAUGGCUGAACCACCGAAUCUCACAACCCGAGAAGUGCAGCAGGUAUUUGCAGAGAUUCUCAGCCAUGGCGAGGACAUCACCUGGGAUCUGUGAGUGCCCGCCCAAAAAUCCUUUGUCCCUCACUUGAAAUCUAUAGAUGGCCAAUCCCUGACCUGACAGAUUGCUGCAGAAUCAACGAGACAUUCUGAAAAGGAAAGUUCGAGAAAUAUUUAAUCAGAGACAUAAAUAAUUCUGGACAACGUUUGGACUCUACGUAAGCAGACUCCGCGAAACAGCAGCUCCGUCACUAAUCCAGACGUACAUACAAAACUUUAGGUAAAUACGUCAACGGCCAGUCCCUUUCUGCGUUGUUCUUUGCGGUUAUUGUGAAUGGAGUGACCGACUUGAAGGAGGCAGAGAAUAGCAGAUCCUGGUCGAUCCACCCAGUUUUCCGCUGCCGUCGCUGCGUUGGUAAUGUCGUACAUUAAAGUAGUUUCAAAUUGAUCCAAUUGCAUAUGCCUAUCACUAUACUACUUUCAGCCGACACGGAUGGAGGGAUGAGCAGCAGCCCAGACUGUUGCGUGAUGUAUGUGGAUCAAAGCGGGCUCUUUGAGGACUGGGAUACAUACUUAAAGCGCACAGCUCUUCCCCCAGGGGUUAUGGUAACCUGGGAUCGAGGAGUCUACAAGCUGAUCGAUGGGCAGGUUGAGCUAAAAACUUAUUUGAUAACGGAGAAAAUGUACACACGCAAUGCGUGCUUCAUAACGUCUGAAGGUCUGAAGGCAGCCUUGGAAUUUCCUGGAGUGCAUCGGCUUUACUCGGAAUCAAGCUCUAGAACAUUUAAGAGCGAG